AGAGUUUGAUCAUGGCUCAGAUUGAACGCUGGCGGCAGGCCUAACACAUGCAAGUCGAGCGGUAGAGAGAAGCUUGCUUCUCUUGAGAGCGGCGGACGGGUGAGUAAUGCCUAGGAAUCUGCCUGGUAGUGGGGGAUAACGUCCGGAAACGGACGCUAAUACCGCAUACGUCCUACGGGAGAAAGCAGGGGACCUUCGGGCCUUGCGCUAUCAGAUGAGCCUAGGUCGGAUUAGCUAGUUGGUGGGGUAAUGGCUCACCAAGGCGACGAUCCGUAACUGGUCUGAGAGGAUGAUCAGUCACACUGGAACUGAGACACGGUCCAGACUCCUACGGGAGGCAGCAGUGGGGAAUAUUGGACAAUGGGCGAAAGCCUGAUCCAGCCAUGCCGCGUGUGUGAAGAAGGUCUUCGGAUUGUAAAGCACUUUAAGUUGGGAGGAAGGGCAGUAAAUUAAUACUUUGCUGUUUUGACGUUACCGACAGAAUAAGCACCGGCUAACUCUGUGCCAGCAGCCGCGGUAAUACAGAGGGUGCAAGCGUUAAUCGGAAUUACUGGGCGUAAAGCGCGCGUAGGUGGUUCGUUAAGUUGGAUGUGAAAUCCCCGGGCUCAACCUGGGAACUGCAUUCAAAACUGACGAGCUAGAGUAUGGUAGAGGGUGGUGGAAUUUCCUGUGUAGCGGUGAAAUGCGUAGAUAUAGGAAGGAACACCAGUGGCGAAGGCGACCACCUGGACUGAUACUGACACCGAGGUGCGAAAGCGUGGGGAGCGAACAGGAUUAGAUACCCUGGUAGUCC
rnacentral:rRNA from 1 species